AGCGAACGCUGGCGGCAGGCCUAACACAUGCAAGUCGAACGAACUCUUCGGAGUUAGUGGCGGACGGGUGAGUAACACGUGGGAACGUGCCUUUAGGUUCGGAAUAACUCAGGGAAACUUGUGCUAAUACCGAAUGUGCCCUUCGGGGGAAAGAUUUAUCGCCUUUAGAGCGGCCCGCGUCUGAUUAGCUAGUUGGUAGUGUAAUGGACUACCAAGGCUACGAUCAGUAGCUGGUCUGAGAGGAUGAUCAGCCACAUUGGGACUGAGACACGGCCCAAACUCCUACGGGAGGCAGCAGUGGGGAAUCUUGCGCAAUGGGCGAAAGCCUGACGCAGCCAUGCCGCGUGAAUGAUGAAGGUCUUAGGAUUGUAAAAUUCUUUCACCGGGGACGAUAAUGACGGUACCCGGAGAAGAAGCCCCGGCUAACUUCGUGCCAGCAGCCGCAGUAAAAC
rnacentral:rRNA from 1 species